GUGCACGCUUUGGCAGCACAUAUACUAAAAUUGGAACGAUACGGAGAAGGUUAGCAUGGCUCCUGCACAAGGAUAACAUGCAAAUUCGUGAAACACUGCAUAUUUUA